rnacentral:misc_RNA from 1 species
CGGAAGGAAGUAGAAGGAGAAAAGAAAAGUAGAGAAAGUGGCAAGAAAGAAAAAUAAAAGAGAAGGAAAAGAAAGGGCAAAAGAAGAAGAACCACAAGAGAUCGAAUCUGGGGGCGCGUUCACCGCGAGAGGGCGGAGCGUGAAAGUGAAUCCAGAAAGAACCGUGUCAAAAUUGGCCGAGGAAUUUCAUGUUUUUUUCAGAAUGGGGCUUUUUUUUUUUUUUUUUU